UAGAACUUUCGAACAUGAGCUACCCCC
rnacentral:piRNA from 1 species